rnacentral:tRNA from 1 species
ACCCCCUUAGUAUAGCCAAUACUAAUGACUUCCAAUCAUUAAACCCAGACCAACAGCCUGGAGCGGGUA